UACAGAGGGGGCAAGCGUUAUUCGGAAUUAUUGGGCGUAAAGGGCGCGUAGGCGGCUCGUCGCGUCGACCGUGAAAACCCGCGGCUUAACUGCGGGCUUGCGGUUGAUACGGGCGGGCUAGAGUUCGGUAGGGGAGACUGGAAUUCCUGGUGUAGCGGUGAAAUGCGCAGAUAUCAGGAGGAACACCGGUGGCGAAGGCGGGUCUCUGGGCCGAUACUGACGCUGAGGAGCGAAAGCGUGGGGAGCGAACAGG
rnacentral:rRNA from 1 species